rnacentral:rRNA from 1 species
CAAGUCGAACGGUAACAGGAAGCAGCUUGCUGCUUUGCUGACGAGUGGCGGACGGGUGAGUAAUGUCUGGGAAACUGCCUGAUGGAGGGGGAUAACUACUGGAAACGGUGGCUAAUACCGCAUAACGUCGCAAGACCAAAGAGGGGGACCUUCGGGCCUCUUGCCAUCAGAUGUGCCCAGAUGGGAUUAGCUUGUUGGUGAGGUAACGGCUCACCAAGGCGACGAUCCCUAGCUGGUCUGAGAGGAUGACCAGCCACACUGGAACUGAGACACGGUCCAGACUCCUACGGGAGGCAGCAGUGGGGAAUAUUGCACAAUGGGCGCAAGCCUGAUGCAGCCAUGCCGCGUGUAUGAAGAAGGCCUUCGGGUUGUAAAGUACUUUCAGCGGGGAGGAAGGUGUUGUGGUUAAUAACCGCAGCAAUUGACGUUACCCGCAGAAGAAGCACCGGCUAACUCCGUGCCAGCAGCCGCGGUAAUACGGAGGGUGCAAGCGUUAAUCGGAAUUACUGGGCGUAAAGCGCACGCAGGCGGUCUGUCAAGUCGGAUGUGAAAUCCCCGGGCUCAACCUGGGAACUGCAUUCGAAACUGGCAGGCUUGAGUCUUGUAGAGGGGGGUAGAAUUCCAGGUGUAGCGGUGAAAUGCGUAGAGAUCUGGAGGAAUACCGGUGGCGAAGGCGGCCCCCUGGACAAAGACUGACGCUCAGGUGCGAAAGCGUGGGGAGCAAACAGGAUUAGAUACCCUGGUAGUCCACGCCGUAAACGAUGUCUACUUGGAGGUUGUGCCCUUGAGGCGUGGCUUCCGGAGCUAACGCGUUAAGUAGACCGCCUGGGGAGUACGGCCGCAAGGUUAAAACUCAAAUGAAUUGACGGGGGCCCGCACAAGCGGUGGAGCAUGUGGUUUAAUUCGAUGCAACGCGAAGAACCUUACCUGGUCUUGACAUCCACAGAAGAAUCCAGAGAUGGAUUUGUGCCUUCGGGAACUGUGAGACAGGUGCUGCAUGGCUGUCGUCAGCUCGUGUUGUGAAAUGUUGGGUUAAGUCCCGCAACGAGCGCAACCCUUAUCCUUUGUUGCCAGCGGUUAGGCCGGGAACUCAAAGGAGACUGCCAGUGAUAAACUGGAGGAAGGUGGGGAUGACGUCAAGUCAUCAUGGCCCUUACGACCAGGGCUACACACGUGCUACAAUGGCGCAUACAAAGAGAAGCGACCUCGCGAGAGCAAGCGGACCUCAUAAAGUGCGUCGUAGUCCGGAUUGGAGUCUGCAACUCGACUCCAUGAAGUCGGAAUCGCUAGUAAUCGUGGAUCAGAAUGCCACGGUGAAUACGUUCCCGGGCCUUGUACACACCGCCCGUCACACCAUGGGAGUGGGUUGCAAAAGAAGUAGGUAGCUUAACCUUCGGGAGGGCGCUUACCACUUUGUGAUUCAUGACUGGGGUGAAGUCGUAACAAGGUAACCGUAGGGGAACCUGCGGUUGGAUCACCUCCUUACCUUAAAGAA